rnacentral:lncRNA from 1 species
CUAAACAACAUCCUACUUCCUUACUUCAAUUUCAGCAACCACAGAACUUCCUGAAUAGGAGUUCUCCCUUAGUGCAGACUCAAAUCUUGCAGCAGUCUCAAUCUCAGCAGUCUUUUCCAAAUAGUCAAGAAAUACCUCAUCCAUCUCAAUCUCAGGCUCAAACUCAUUUUCAGCAGCAUUUGCAGCAUCAGCAUUCAUUCAAUAAUCAGAAUCAGCAUCAUCUUCUACAGCAGCAACAACAGCAGCAACAAUCACAACAACCACAGCAGCAACAACAGCAACUGCAGCAGCAACAAGUGGUUGAUCAUCAGCAGAUUUCAAAUGCUGUCUCUACGAUGUCUCAGUUUGUUUCAGCACCUCAAUCUCAAUCGCCACCCAUGCAAGCUAUCUCUUCACUGGGACAUCAGCAGAGUUUUUCUGAUUCAAACGGAAACCCUGUGACUAAUGCUAUUGUUUCUCCCCUGCAUAGUAUUUUGGGUUCAUUUUCCC